UCCCCCUCAUUUUCCUCUACCUGUUACCAGUGAUAGCCAAAUGUUAGAGAAUCAGAAUAUAUGCACUUAAAAGAAGCAACACAUAUCUAGUCCAAAUGAAAAAUUCAAUUCCAAAAAUCCAGUAUUCAAACUUUAGAAUCAGCUGAUUAACCUGUUUCCUAGAAUCUAUGUUACAUUUCCAAGGGGCAGAAUCAGCAGAAUGUAAGUACACAUAUUACUGUACACACACACACACAAAUGUACUAUGCAUGUAAUCUUAGAAGAGGAAACAUUUCUAUUAUAUUCACUAGUUUUUGGAUGUCACAGUCAUACAUAUACUAGGUUGAUAUUUUGGGUUCAGAAGAAAUAAUGUCUCAUAGAAGUGUUGACAUUUUUAUAUGUGGAUACCUUUUAGGGUAAAGCUCAAUUUACACAUGCUGCUUUGAACAUAAUCUGUUUUUCUGUUUUUUCUCUGAGUUAGCACAGACGGCCCACAUGAUCACAUCCAUAUGUAAAUCAAGGAAAGUUUGUGCUACUUUUUUGUUCACUGUGGAUGGAUUGCUUCAUAUGAUCUUCUGAAAGAAUAAGAAAUUGCUCAGCUAUGUAGAAAGUGUGACUAAGUGUGUCUGAAGUGUAUCAGUUUGUGCAUAUGGAGAUCAAAACAUAUUUCUACCUUUGUCAUGCAUUGUCUGGUUAAAUUUAGGAUCAUGACACUGGUCUAGAGUCUGGAAUUGAGAUGAAGCUUCUUCACCUGUACCUAGAAUUGGGAAUAGACCCUGGAGGCGAUGGGGCAAGGCAAAUACCAUUCACUUGACAAAGUCAUGGUUUGUAGACAAGGAAGGUGGCAAGUCCAGGCACCAAAGGCAAACUGAUGUACAGGUCACAAAACAAGCAUUUUAGAAGAGAUAGAGAUGGGAUAAAUCUUGGAUAUCUGUGAUGUAUAGAAAAUGGGUGGGAAGGUCACCUGAUGGUAGCAGGGGAACGCUACACAGGUGGCACUGACAUGUGCUUUCAUGGGCUAGUAGGCUUUAAAAACCAUGAAUGGUGUGGACAGUGGGUGGCAAGUCCAGUUCUUUGCUUUUCUAUUUUCUAUACUUUUAUAAUCUUAUUUCUUAUUGAAAACAUUUCAACUGUCUUAUCGAAAAUAUUAACAGAAUCAAUAUUUUCUUGCUGAGGUAAAUAAAAUAAGACAUUUAAUAGUAUUAAUUAGUAGUUACCAUGUGUUGAGUGCUUAGUAUGACCUAGUCACUGAACUAAACAGUUUGAGCACCAUAUAUUAGUUAUGAAGUAGUAAUGAUUUAUUUACACCUUACAUGUGAUGUAACUAAUUUUCGGCAAGGUUAUAUGAACAUCUCUUUGCAAUAAAGGGAGGAAAACCAUUUUAACGCCUAUGUAAUUACACCCUCUGUUUGUGGUUUGAAGUUUCUGUACCAUCUGCCUUUUGAAGGGAUAUUCUUCAGCAUGAGCAGACAUGAUGUAAGCAUGUGGAUUGAAUAUGCACUACUUUUAUCACUGGGGUUUGCUGACCCUUAGGUCAGAAUUUUACCAAGAAGGCUGAAAAUAUGAGAGAUCAUUUAGGGUAAUGAAGGAUUAUUAUACCAAGUUAGGUUGCAGGCGCUUACCUGGUGGCGCAGUGAUUAAGAAUCCGCCUGCCAAUGCAGGGGACACGGGUUCGAGCCCUGGUCCAGGAAGAUCCCACAUGCCGUGGAGCAACUAAGCCCGUGUGCCACAACUAUUGAGCCUGCGUGCUACAACUACUGAAGCCCAUGUGCCUAGAGCCUGUGCUCCGCAACGAAGCCUCGCAGUGAGAAGCCCGCGCACCGCAACGAAGAGUAGCCCCCGCUGCCACAAUUAGAGAAAAGCCCUCACACAGCAAUGAAGACCCAAUGCAGCCAAAAAUAAAUAAAUUAAAUAAAUUUUUAAAAAAAGUUAGGUCCCAGGAAAUGAUUUUCAAGUCUGGAGAAAAAAAUUGUCU